rnacentral:rRNA from 1 species
ACGGGAGGCAGCAGUGGGGAAUAUUGCACAAUGGGGGAAACCCUGAUGCGGCGACGCCGCGUGAGUGAAGAAGUAUUUCGGUAUGUAAAGCUCUAUCAGCAGGGAAGAAAAUGACGGUACCUGACUAAGAAGCCCCGGCUAACUACGUGCCAGCAGCCGCGGUAAUACGUAGGGGGCAAGCGUUAUCCGGAUUUACUGGGGGUAAAGGGAGCGUAGACGGCGAUGCAAGUCUGAUGUGAAAGCCCGGGGCUCAACCCCGGCACUGCAUUGGAAACUGUGUUGCUAGAGUGCAGGAGAGGUAAGUGGAAUUCCUAGUGUAGCGGUGAAAUGCGCAGAUAUUAGGAGGAACACCAGUGGCGAAGGCGGCUGACUGGACUGUAACUGACGUUGAGGCUCGAAAGCGUGGGGAGCAAACAGGAUUAGAUACCCUGGUA